GACGAACGCUGGCGGCGUGCCUAAUACAUGCCAGUAGAACGCUGAAGGAGGAGCUUGCUUCUCUGGAUGAGUUGCGAACGGGUGAGUAACGCGUAGGUAACCUGCCUGGUAGCGGGGGAUAACUAUUGGAAACGAUAGCUAAUACCGCAUAAGAGUAGAUGUUGCAUGACAUUUGCUUAAAAGGUGCAAUUGCAUCACUACCAGAUGGACCUGCGUUGUAUUAGCUAGUUGGUGAGGUAACGGCUCACCAAGGCAACGAUACAUAGCCGACCUGAGAGGGUGAUCGGCCACACUGGGACUGAGACACGGCCCAGACUCCUACGGGAGGCAGCAGUAGGGAAUCUUCGGCAAUGGACGGAAGUCUGACCGAGCAACGCCGCGUGAGUGAAGAAGGGUUUCGGAUCGUAAAGCUCUGUUGUAAGAGAAGAACGAGUGUGAGAGUGGAAAGUUCACACUGUGACGGUAUCUUACCAGAAAGGGACGGCUAACUACGUG
rnacentral:rRNA from 1 species